UCGGAUUGUAGUCUGCAACCCGACUACAUGAAGCUGGAAUCGCUAGUAAUCGCAGGUCAGCAUACUGCGGUGAAUACGUUCCCGGGUCUUGUACACACCGCCCGUCACACCAUGGGAGCCGGAAAUGCCCGAAGCCAGUGACCCAACCUUAGGGAGGGAGCUGUCGAAGGUGGAGCCGGUAACUGGGGUGAAGUCGUAACAAGGUAUC
rnacentral:rRNA from 1 species